UUCCUGCAGCUCUGCAAACAGUCGAGCUGAGGUUGGGUGUGUUUCAGCCGCAGUCUGUUUCCUUAGAUCUGCACGUAGCCUAGCUCUGUUUAGGAGUGGUGCAGAGACACGCUUUGUGAAUUCACUGCAUGUAUCUACAAUAUUCUUCCUUCUACAAGGAAGCCUGCACACACUCUUCCAGAGACAAUCAGAGCAUCAUGACAUCCUUUAUUCUCAUGUGCACUGUGUGGCUCACCAUCUGUGUGGGCCUUCUGUCUGCAGAACCUAAGAUCCCUGUGUCUGGCAAAGUGAGAUCCACAGUUGUCCUGCCAUGCACACUGAAAGUGCGACGUGAAACUCCAUAUGUUAGGUGGAGCACCGAUAAGGAUGUGUUUGAGCGGAGCGGCAAGGAGUCAUUUCAGGGUGAGGGAUAUGAGGGUCGUGUGGACAUCCCUGAGGAACAGCUGCUGAAGGGGGACUGUUCCUUGGUGCUGCACAACCUGACACUUACUGAUAACGGUGUGUACAAGAGCUACCAGGUAGUGAGACGCACAAAAAGGUCUGCCGUCCGCGAAAAAUGGGAUCUUAUCAGCAGUGUUGUACUUUCAGUAGAUGGACCCAAGACAGGACCUGUGACAGAAAGAGGAAGUUGCCCAGAAGGUGCUACAAUGAUGCAAGGAAGGCAGAUGGGCAACAACAAAUCAGGAGAAGAUAUGAGAAGAGUGAUGGCAAUGUUCCAUGUGGAGUUGAUGGCAGGAUGAUAUCCUUGGUGGGGUCACUGAUCAGAGCAGAGCAACAUCAGAGUCAUGAGGAGGACCAGUGGUGUCCUUGCUGGAGUUUGGUGAUGAAGACCAGGAGGUUGUGGCUGCUUUGUCCAAUCUCUUACUGAAAGAGAUCAUAUUCCCUUUGAGAAGGUCUGUCCAAACCUACUCUCUCCAUAGGCACUCCGCCACACCUAAAUAUGUCCAUGAAGGGAUACUCCUUAGGGAUUGGGGGAGCAUGUAGUGUGCCCAGCUGUGAAAGCACUGCAAUUGCAGUGGAACAUCUGCAUCCAUUCAAGAAAGAAAUGAAAAGACAAACCAUCUUGAACCAUCAGUUCCCAUAAGUGAUGCGAGAGUAAACUGGCCUCGUGCACAGGUCAUGGCCUUGUCCCUCCUCUCUCUUUUUCUCUUCCAGCUCUUCUAUAAACAAACGUGAACGAGACCUAGAGUUGUGCACAGGACUGUGUUUUCAUCCAACACCCACUGAAAUAAAGCUAAGAGUAGCUACAGCCAGCUCAAACAUCACUAGAAUUUGUUGAGAGGUUGAUGGGAACAGUGGUCGAACAAUCAGUGAUUGGCUGUUGAGAACAUAGCCUCAUGCAAGCACAGCUCACUCAGGCUUAACACAAUAAUGGUGAGCUGUGAUGGGAGCUGGAGAAAUGCAAGACAGUCACUAUUAUCUGCUCAAAAAGUGAAUAGAUUUAUCAUGAGGCUAGUUUCAAAAUAAAGCUGCUAAAGGGUUCUAAAGUCACCAAAUCUAGUCACAGCAUCUCUAAAUUGGCAACACUAGUGCUGACCAACCAAGUUUUAUUCCUGUUAUACCACAGAAAUUUGGUAUUUGGACCCAACAUAAUUACCCCCCCCCCCCCCCCCCCCCCCAAUAAAGGUACAAAAAAGAACUUCCUGGGAGAGGUUUACUGGGACCUAAUCCUGGAGCCAGUCCCGAGGAUCAUGAUCACAGGUGAGAUAGGUAGUGAUGUGAUAUUCAUGGCGAAUGUGUAAAAUCAUGCAGUGCUUUGGACAUUUUUGUUGGGUUUUGCGGGAUCCCAAUCCUAUUUGCUCAACUGUAGCAAUUUACACAAGAAGAACAGAGUGUAGUAGGAUGCAGAAAAGCUGAUUGAAUCCCAAAAAGCUUUCUACACUUUAUCUACCUGCACAACACUGGAGCUAACACAAUCUACAUUGUGUGUAAUGUAGACAGAAGAAUGUAAAUGUAGAGUGAUGUGUUUGUACAAAGGCAGUGUAUUAUAUGUAUAUUAAAAGUCAUGAAUUGUAAUGAUUUUUCAGAAAUCCAGACUUUCAGAAGAGCUUGAAACUCUUGUCUAGGGAUGGUCUAGAAACAAAAUGUAGGCCUCCAUCAACAUUUAUCAGAUUGGUAAUAAAGCAAAGCUCUGAGCUGGACAAAGAUGUAUAUUUUUUAGAUUUCAGUGUGACAUGUGGUAUCUUCUGCUUUACUUUAUAAAAUGUAGUGACAUGAAAAAGUUUUCCUACAUCAUUGUUGCAGUAUUAUUGCUUUGUGUUAACCAUCAUGGCUUUUGUUAUUUGUUAUUACUGCUAUUGUAUAUGAGGAAUAAUGAUAAUAAAAGCACUUUGUUGGACAAUUUAUAA